UACGGAGGGUGCGAGCGUUGUCCGGAAUCACUGGGCGUAAAGGGCGCGUAGGCGGCCUGAUAAGUAGGGGGUGAAAUCCUGCGGCUUAACCGCAGGGCUGCCUUCUAAACUGUCAGGCUAGAGCACGGUAGAGGCAGAUGGAAUUCCCGGUGUAGCGGUGAAAUGCGUAGAUAUCGGAAGGAACACCUGUGGCGAAAGCGGCUCACUGGACCAUAACUGACGCUGAGGCGCGAAAGCUAGGGGAGCAAACAGG
rnacentral:rRNA from 1 species